UGGGGAAUAUUGCACAAUGGGGGAAACCCUGAUGCAGCGACGCCGCGUGAGUGAAGAAGUAUUUCGGUAUGUAAAGCUCUAUCAGCAGGGAAGAAGAUGACGGUACCUGAGUAAGAAGCACCGGCUAAAUACGUGCCAGCAGCCGCGGUAAUACGUAUGGUGCAAGCGUUAUCCGGAUUUACUGGGUGUAAAGGGAGCGUAGGUGGCAUGGCAAGCCAGAAGUGAAAGCCCGGGGCUUAACCGCGGGACUGCUUUUGGAACUGUUGUGCUGGAGUGCAGGAGGGGUAAGCGGAAUUCCUGGUGUAGCGGUGAAAUGCGUAGAUAUCAGGAGGAACACCGGUGGCGAAGGCGGCUUACUGGACUGUAACUGACACUGAGGCUCGAAAGCGUGGGGAGCAAACAGGAUUAGAUACCCUGGUAGU
rnacentral:rRNA from 1 species